AUAUAAAAAUUAUCUUCUGCAGAAAUUUCUUGCGGGCAAAAGCGGAUGUCCUCAAUAGGGGGUGUGGAUGAAAAAUGAAAUGGCCGAUGCCACGAAGAAUGUUUGCAUAAAUAUGUUUCAUGUUAUUGUGUAAAAAUACUGAAAAUCCUCCGUAUUCAAGAAUAUGGCAACAAACUCCGACAACCAUGGUCAUAAUGCGACAAAAGUUGGCUAUUUUACUUUUGAAAUCGCUUGGGAAGUCGCAAAUAAAGGUACAAAGUCUAUAUUUUGUUGGCAAUUUAUAGAUGUUUAAUAUAUACAAUUGUGAAUAGUACAUUGAUUAUCACUGAAGCUUGCAACAGAUGUAACUGCAUGUAAUGUGCCCAAAUUGCUAAGUCUGUCGAAAAUGUGU